rnacentral:rRNA from 1 species
AGAGUUUGAUCCUGGCUCAGAACGAACGCUGGCGGCGUGCUUAACACAUGCAAGUCGAGUGCGCGUGCCGUAGCAAUACGGUAUGGCGCACGGCGCACGGGUGCGUAACACGUGGGUAACCUGCCCUUUGGUGGGGAAUAACUCCGGGAAACCGAAGCUAAUUCCGCAUAAGAUCCGCAAGGAUGAAAGCCGCAAGGCGCCGAUGGAGGGGCCCGCGCCCGAUUAGCUAGUUGGCAGGGUAACGGCCUACCAAGGCUUUGAUCGGUAGCUGGUCUGAGAGGAUGGCCAGCCACACUGGAACUGAGACACGGUCCAGACUCCUACGGGAGGCAGCAGUGGGGAAUCUUGCGCAAUGGGCGAAAGCCUGACGCAGCGACGCCGCGUGGGGGAUGAAGCUUCUCGGAGUGUAAACCCCUUUCGACCCGGACGAAUACCUCGCAAGAGGGGUGACGGUACGGGUAUAAGAAGCCCCGGCUAACUACGUGCCAGCAGCCGCGGUAAGACGUAGGGGGCCAGCGUUGUUCGGAAUUACUGGGUGUAAAGGGUCAGUAGGCGGUGUGGCAAGUCGGGAGUGAAAUCUAUGGGCUCAACUCAUAGGCUGCUUCCGAAACUGCUGUGCUUGAGUGUGGGAGAGGCGCGUGGAAUUGCAGGUGUAGCGGUGAAAUGCGUAGAUAUCUGCAGGAACACCCGUGGCGAAAGCGGCGCGCUGGACCACAACUGACGCUGAAUGACGAAAGCUAGGGGAGCAAACAGGAUUAGAUACCCUGGUAGUCCUAGCCCUAAACGAUCAGGACUUGGGGUGCCGCACGUUCGUGCGUCGUCCCGGAGCUAACGCGUUAAGUCCUGCACCUGGGGAGUACGGUCGCAAGACUGAAACUCAAAGGAAUUGACGGGGGCCCGCACAAGCGGUGGAACAUGUGGUUCAAUUCGACGCUACGCGAGGAACCUUACCUGGGCUCGAAGCGCACUU